UUAAGUUUCAGUCUUGCGACCGUACUCCCCAGGCGGCAGACUUAACGGCUUCCCUGCGGCACUGGGUUGGCGCAAAGCCAACCCAUCACCGAGUCUGCAUCGUUUACAGCUGGGACUACCCGGGUAUCUAAUCCGGUUUGCUCCCCCAGCUUUCAUCCCUCACCGUCGAGCGCGUUCUGGCAGGCCGCCUUCGCCACUGGUGGUCUUCAGUGGAUCAGAGGAUUUUACCCCUACCCACUGAGUACCGCGUGCCUCUCCCGCCUCCUAGCCCUGUAGUAUCCUCCGCAGCCCAUCUGUUGAGCAGGUGGAUUUAACGGAAGACUUGCAGAACAAGCUACGGAUGCUUUAGGCCCAAUAAUCGUCCCGACCACUCGGGGUGCUGGUAUUACCGCGGCGGCUGACACCAGACUUGCCCACCCCUUAUUCUGCACCAUUUUU
rnacentral:rRNA from 1 species